rnacentral:rRNA from 1 species
UAUAUUAAUAAUAUAAAAUAGUUAUAAUUUUGGUGAAAUAUAUUUUAUCUUUAAAAAUUAUUUUUAUGUCUGAAAAAUUUUUUUUAUAAACUAGGAUUAGAUACCCUAUUAUUAAAAAUGUGAUAAAAUUAACUUGAUUAUUAUUAGAAAUGAUCUUUAAAUUCAAAGAAUUUGGCGGUAAUUUAUCUUAUCAGAGGAAUCUGUUUUAUGAUUGAUAAUCCACGAUAGAAAAAACUUCAAUUUAACUUGUAUAUCUCUGUCAAGAAUGUUUUAUAAGAAAAAUUUUCAUAUUAUAUAAUUAUAUAUUUAAUGUCAGGUCAAGGUGCAGUUUAUAUUGAAGAAAAAAUGGGUUACAAUUAAUUAUUUAGUGGAUUAUUUUUUUUAUAAAAGAAUAUGAAAUUGGAUUUGAUAAUAAAUUAAUUAAAUUUAAUUAAUUGAAAUUAGCUCUAAAUUAUGUACAUAUCGCCCGUCACUCUCAUAAUUUUAUUGAGAUAAGUCGUAACAAAGUAACUGUACCGGAAGGUGUAGUUAGAAAGA